GUGUAUCAUUCUCCUGCCUGGUGUAUCAUUCUCCCGCCUGGUGUAUCAUUCUCCCGCCUGGUGUAUCAUUCUCCUUCCUGGUGUAUCAUUCUCCUUCCUGGUGUAUCAUUCUCCUUCCUGGUGUAUCGUUAUGAUGGAGAGUGUAUCUUGGUUCCUGAUAAACGAGAUGAAACGUCUGUUAGCGAUCUGUAAACGUUUCUUAUGAAGUAUCUCUCCUGGAAUGUACGUGCAGGCAUCUCUUCUUGUAUCGGUCUGUCAAAUCUAUUACGGGAUAUCUGGGUUGAUACGUGUGACUUAUAAGAUGUCUACGCGGAACCGUCAAUUACGAAAUAUCGCGUCUUUGAUGUCUAGUGGUGAGAUAUCUGUGAUGAUUUAUCUCUUAUGGGAAUCUCAUGGCGUACGCCGUGGGUUAGGCACCACGAGGUGUUCAACAUUGCUGCAGCAGCUCUCUGCCCAGACCUUUAGAGGGAACAUUACAAUAUAGCUUUGAGACUACACCUCAGAGUAACAAUUGGUCUUCAUCUUGCGAUGGCUUUUAGACUGGGUAUUGUUAUAGCUUUUAGGCUGGUCCUUGCUAUUAGUUUUUGGGCUGGGUCUUGCAAUUGCGUUUAGACUGGGUCUUGCAAUCGCUUAUAUACUGGGCCUUGCACUAGGUUUUAGAGUGGGUCGUGCAAUAGUUUUCGGUUGGGUUUUACUAUCGCGUUGCUAAAUCACAGGAGAGCCAUCUGCUACGGGGCUUACCGUAAUGUUUUACCCGUGUGCUGCACAGUUCUUUAUACUUCAUGAGGCUUCACCAUGAGACAUAUGGGCUUUCAGACUGCCGUGUCCUAACCGUGUGCAAUAAUCAUCAUCGUGAAACAUUGGCGUGCUGCGAAGAACGUACAUGAAUCAACUUACUAGCAUGUAACUUCCCGUCUGGUACUGAUCCUGGUGCGUUUAGUUGUGGUGGGAGGCUGGGAGGGAUCGUGUGGUUAGCAAAGUGACGCUUGUAUUUAAAAUGUCGGCAACUGGAGGAACAUAUUUUUUUGGGAAUGAAAUGUUUAUGGUAUGCCGUUUUGUAUACGUGAAAUCAAAAUAAGCUUGAGUUGUUUACGCCUUCCUGGGACUACACGUGGGAUGUACGUGUAUAUUUAUUGUCGUGGUAAAAUUGAUAUGAAAAAUAAACAAGUAAACAACGUG